GGCAUGCGUGCGCGCUGCUCGCGGCGCGGUCCCGCCGCGGCUGAGCAUGCGCAGCAGGGGCCGUGGGGCCCGCGUCCGCCCAGAGCGCGGAGCGAUGCUCUGCCGCGCGGCUCUGCCGCUGCGCGGCCUCGUUCCUUGUAGCUCCCGGGUUUGUGUGGCGCAGUGCCGGUGCCGCAGUCCUGCGCUGAAGAUGUGGGAGUGUAUCUGCCUGCAGACUCCGAAGGACCUAGCUGUAAGUGCUACAAACCCAGGCACCACCAUCUUGGCUGAUGUACCCAGCUGUGGCAGGUCAGGUGGAGCUGUCUGGAACCAGCUGUAUUUGUCACAGGUGUGACCUUCUCACAAAGAUUAUCUCCACAGCACACUCACCAACCUGCCAGUUAUGAUUAAUAGCUAUAUGGCAUUUUACAACUCACAUGACUUCCCUUUGCCAUGGGAGAGGUGGUGCAGUGAGGAAGAGCUGGGCAGGCUAGCCCUGUGGACUCUUUCUUAAGGUACUUGUUUUGCAGGAGAGAUGGUGCAAUCCUGUAGGGAGACUGGGUGGGUCAGUUCGGUGGUUACUGCUGUGCUGUGUCAUCCUAGCACAGGGUCAUCAGUGGGUCUUGAGUUUCCCUGGGCUUUUUUCUGCUCUCUGAAUUCCAGAGAAGUUGCAGAGGUGAUCCUGUAUCCUGGGGCAGAGUCAUAGGUACUUCCUCGACAGGGUCUUUUUCAGCCACCUCAUUGGCCCAGCUUGGCUAUCUGUGUCUUCUACCAGGGAUGGAGCCCUGCCUGGCAAAGGCCCUGGCCCUUGCUGCACUUUAACAAAAGCACAUUGACCAGUAACUUGUUUGCAUACGCAAGCUCCUUCUAUCCCUUUUAUUCUGUAUUUUUUCCAUGCUUGUUCCUCAUCAGGCAAGUUGAUAUUUCCCUUCCUCUGGUUUUGGUCUUUCCCUUAAACAUCCCAUAGUAAGUCUUGCACAACCCUAAAAUGUUCUUACCAACUUCCCAUGGUGAGUCUCCACGCUCCUGUAGGCAGCAAUUCUCUCUCACUCUCUAAUGGGAUUUAUGGGGAGUGUCUUACAUUGACUCAGCUGGGAAUGGCCCUCCAAUCCCUGGGGCUGGUGGCUUCCUGUGCUAUCCCACAGAGCAACCCUGUCAGAAGUUCAUCUGGCUCUGAUGUGGUUACUGGGGUUCCCCUGCCUGUCAUUGUGCCUCUGCACCUUUGUAUUCAUAGACAUCAGUCUUCAGUCAUGUAGUCUGACAAUCUUAAAACUGUGUCCUUAUUUAAGUUCACUUAUUGAAGUUCUUUGGGGUACAAGGUCCAUGAGCAGCUCUGUGACAGUAGUCUUUAACGCAGUAGAAGGGAAAUCUCAUCAUUUUACAAACCUUUAUUCUAAAUACCCUCAUGUGGUGCAUGCUUUUUGAGUAGAGGCAUAAUCUCUUACAUUUUAAAGAAAAUUUAUUCACUUUUAAAUGGGUUCAAAUUUUCCAUGGACAGAGGAGGGAUUUCCUGCCCCAAAGGCACUCAGUCUACCUCCAGUGUAAACAAAAUGGGGCUAGAAGUGAAGGUGGCAUUUGUUCAGUGUGAAAGACCAUGGGACCUAGUUACAAAACCCAAGACAAGCCUUUGCAGCAGAGGCAGGGGUGCAGGGCAUCUGUUAUUAUUUUGGAAUGAAAAUUGUCUCUAAUCUAUACUCCGCAUCCUGCAGUCAUGGGGAGAUUGGGUGGUGUGAUACUGUACUCAUUGAUACACAGUCUAGUAUUUAUUUUCCUGAGAGAUGGGUAGGUGGGUAAUGGUUCCUGUUCUGCAAACACAACACACAUAGAUCAGAGCUUCAGACCCACCAGUCUGGUUUAGACCAGUCCUAUGCCAGUUCCCAAAGGAACAGGUGAGGUUCUGACUGGUUGGCAUGCUGUGUUUGUGGAUGACAGUUUAGCUUCUCUGUGUUGCAGUUCUUGGGCUUCAGCUUCUAUGUUAAAUUGGUCGACAGUGUAUGGUGGUUGCUAUCAUUUAUCAUCUUAAAAAUUUAUUAACAUGAUAAUUAUCACCUUAAAUGUUAUAUCAAUGAAAUUAAUAAUAAUCUUAAAUACUAUUACCAGUUAACUUUUAUAUAGUUCAUUGAUAUAAGAUGACAAUGGCUCUGCUAAUUACAUGGCCUGAGGCCCGAUCUCUUUGACAUACUUCAUCCAUGAAGCCAAUUAAUAGUUGCCACUGCAGUUUCCAUGACCCUUCAGCCUCUCAUCCAAGUAAUUUACAAGAAAAGAAACAUUACAUGUUUUACCAGUGUCAUGGCUUGCCCAGGCAUGAUUCCUUCUCUCUGCUGGGAUGGGGGGAGCAGAGUGUGGGAGAGAAGACAUCCAAUGCCAGGGUCCAAGGCUUCCCCAGACUUGUUCUGCUUUGCAGUGGUAAACAAGGUGCAUACAUUUGUUUAUGUGUGGCCUGUGUUUUCCCAAAUAAGGGAAAGCAAGCUUCUGACUUCACCUAAUGUGGUCGGUUUUGGGAAAGUGCCAUUCUGAUUGGUGAACCUCUGUGGCCAAAUGGGCCACAUACACUUGGACAGUUGAUAAAAGAUAUGAGCUAAGUUGCAAGCAUGCUCAUUGCUAUGCUCUCUGCCCUGCGGCAACAUGCUCUCUGCUAUCAUGCUCUGCCUCACGCUCCAGACCAGCUCUGCUUUGAUGCUUCAAGCUGUGCUUUGCUGUGCCUCAAGUUUACCAGGAGAAGGCAUUAAAUGUCUUCACACCAUGGCAAGAAUAAGCCACCAGCAAGACAUUGCGUCUGCCUGCACGCCAUCUGUCCUGGAAGGAGUCAAGACCAGGUCAGAGACUGUGCUAAACUCCAAACUUCCUGAAAGAAGAGCACUGGGGAAACUCCAAAAGCCUCCCGAUGGCUUUGAAACCACCAACAGCAACCCCUCCACGUGCUUUGGGUACAGUCUGAUACUCUAAUGCAGCCCUGGAAAUCGAGAUAGUAGCUUGUAAGUAAAUACUCUGAAAAGCCUCUUUGUAAUUAAAGUUCUGAUUUUGUAACUGAAUUCUUUUGUGCCUUCUGCCUUAGCAGAAAGGAGCUUCUGGGGUCUCCCUAGAGGGCAAGCAGCAUAUUGGCUGCAAGAUUCUCUUUGCAACUGUGUAUUCUUAAUUGCUCUAAGUUGCCUGUUUUCCCUGUAUAUAAAUAUCCCAACCUUGUAAAUAAAUCUUCUGGUGAGAUUUAAUAUUUAUAAACUAUUUUAAUAGUUAUUAAAAAUAUUUGCCUGGAUAUAAAAUUAAUAAUCAAUAAUUAAUUUUGUAUAAAUCUGUAACAACCAGGUCAUACUACAUUAAUCUGUCCAAGUUUGGCACAUGUUAUCACAGCUUAUUUGUCUGGGCAGUUCUUCUAGGUAGGCCAAACUCAGUAUCACCUACCAAACAUGGAUGUUCUUAGUUUAAUUUUUGGAAAUAUUGCAAGAAAGGUUGUCUGCCCAUCCUGAGUCACUUCAGCAAUUACACUUAUGUAUCAGUGUCUUCUGUGUCCUUUAUGAGGCCUGCAAUGAUGUAAUUUUUGGGUGACUUCUGUUGCUGUUUCUGCUUUUGCUAUGGCUUACUGUGAAAUAGGCUGAGGUAAUUGUACGUUGUAUCAUCUCAUUAAAGUCCAUAUCUCAACCCAAGGGAUUUUUAUAUUACUUUCCCUCCUGUCUAUCUGGGAGCCUUGCUUAUGAGAGUGGGCUGUGUUAAACUAGAACAGUAAUAAAUAGACAUUUGGGAGUAUAAUGGGUUAACACAAUACAGAAGUGAGGGGAAAGUAACACUCAAAAAUUCAGGAUUGAGAUAAAGAGAUAAGAGUUUACUGAAUAAAUAACAUAAAUUCACAAUUA